GAGGCUACGAAACCAACCAAGCAAGGCAAGUCUGCCAUCAGGCUCAGCCUCCCAUGAAGUGCUCCUGACUUCCCACCCUUCCUCCAGGCCAGGUGUCUGCCAAUCACAGUCUGGGUUCAUGUUUUCCCGCCUUUCCUGGCAGCAAAAACCACGCUCCGGAUGGUGAGCAAUGCAAGUUCCAGGCAUGUCUUGCUGCAUUACUGGGUUCCCAGGUGUCACUUCAUCCAGAGGUUAGUCUGAGUUCUGCAAGGAUCGGUGACUAAGAUGGAAUUCCACUUGCAAGAGAUCUAUUGGAAAAAGCCUGUGAGUGAACAAUGGGAGGAGGAGGCCUCGCCACCGUGCCCAGAGCAGCACAGUGAGUCAGAGAUGAAGCUCUUGUCCCACCUGCCCCAACCCUCGAGCCCUGCUUCCCAGGUCCGCGUUCCCAGGCAGCCUGCCACAGCCAGUGC
rnacentral:lncRNA from 1 species